rnacentral:tRNA from 1 species
GCGGGUAUGGCGGAAUAGGCAGACGCAAGGGACUUAAAAUCCCUCGGGAGCAAUCCCGUGCCGGUUCAAGUCCGGCUACCCGCA